rnacentral:rRNA from 1 species
UGGCUCAGAUUGAACGCUGGCGGCAGGCCUAACACAUGCAAGUCGAGCGGCAGCGGAAAGUAGCUUGCUACUUUGCCGGCGAGCGGCGGACGGGUGAGUAAUGUCUGGGAAACUGCCUGAUGGAGGGGGAUAACUACUGGAAACGGUAGCUAAUACCGCAUGACCUCGAAAGAGCAAAGUGGGGGAUCUUCGGACCUCACGCCAUCGGAUGUGCCCAGAUGGGAUUAGCUAGUAGGUGAGGUAAUGGCUCACCUAGGCGACGAUCCCUAGCUGGUCUGAGAGGAUGACCAGCCACACUGGAACUGAGACACGGUCCAGACUCCUACGGGAGGCAGCAGUGGGGAAUAUUGCACAAUGGGCGCAAGCCUGAUGCAGCCAUGCCGCGUGUGUGAAGAAGGCCUUAGGGUUGUAAAGCACU